rnacentral:rRNA from 1 species
UACGAGGGGGGCAAGCGUUGUUCGGAAUUAUUGGGCGUAAAGGGUGCGUAGGCGGUUUGAUAAGUUCUGUGUGAAAUCUAUGGGCUCAACCCAUAGUCUGCACGGAAAACUGUCAGGCUUGAGAAUGGGAGAGGUGAGUGGAAUUUCCGGUGUAGCGGUGAAAUGCGUAGAUAUCGGAAGGAACACCUGUGGUGAAGGCGGUUGUCUGGGGUUUUGCUGACGCUGAGGCACGAAAGCCAGGGGAGCGAACGGG